rnacentral:rRNA from 1 species
ACAAGCAGUGGAGUAUGUGGUUUAAUUCGAAGCAACGCGAAGAACCUUACCAGGGCUUGACAUCCCUUGAAGCAGCUAGAGAUAGCUGUGCCUUCGGGACAAGGAGACAGGUGGUGCAUGGUUGUCGUCAGCUCGUGUCGUGAGAUGUUGGGUUAAGUCCCGCAACGAGCGCAACCCCUGUGGUUAGUUGCCAGCAAGUAGCGUUGGGCACUCUAGCCAGACUGCCGGUGAUAAAUCGGAGGAAGGUGGGGACGACGUCAAAUCAUCAUGCCCUUUAUGUCCUGGGCUACACACGUACUACAAUGGCCGUUACAACGGGAAGCGAAGGAGCAAUCCGGAGCAAAUCCCUUAAAGGCGGUCCCAGUUCAGAUUGUGGGCUGAAACUCGCCCACAUGAAGGCGGAAUUGCUAGUAAUUGCAGAUCAGCAUGCUGCAGUGAAUACGUUCCCGGGCCUU